UUCACUUCUCCCAUCUUCGCCCGAUCGUCAUCUCACGCCUCAUCUCGCGAGCGUCUUUCCUUCCCUGACUCAUUGCCGAUGCAAAUCACUGGCUGGCGAUGUGCCCUAGCACCGCACAGAUCCAUCAUCUUCUCCCUCUCCCGUGUCUUACCAUCGAAUCACUCCGAUCACUUCUCUCGAACCAUUGCUGCCAUCACCUGAGCGCUGCUCACCGCCGCCGCCCCUUCUCGAGAGACCAGAUCAUGUGAGGCCAGAUUCCUCAUCCUCUCCUUGUGUCUGCAAUGCCUGAUUCGCCUGACGCCGCCGACCACGCUGCGCCGAUUGUCGCAAACCCAAUCGUCAUAUUGCCUUGACUACCAAACAUCGGUACCCUAGCUUCGAUUCCUUUCUCCCCGAUUCUUCUCACUGCCAUGACCUAAUCCAUCACUGCUGGCACCUCUUGUCGCUUGGCCUGAUCGGGUUUCCUCCGCAAGCAUGGGUCGUUGUUGUUAGCCCCUUUUUUUCCACGAGUCUCCAUCGUCCCUUCGGUCGUGCCCUAGUUUUGGAUCCACUGUCGUCACUCUCUCCAUCAGAGAUCACCUCAGCCAUCGGUCGCCACUCUUCCGACCAUAAGAAGCACUAUGACCUGGCUAAAUUCAGGCCAGCAAGUGUUGUUUUGGGGUACUUGGCAUAGAGGACAGUAGCUUCACAAUCCUCCGGCCAUUAAUUCCGAUAGCUAUUGCUCCAACCGCAAGUUAACAGAGGAGCGUAUGGAUUUAGACCUUUGAUUCGAGACAAGUAUCUCGACGUGGGAUUUCUUAACACGAUUGACAGAUAAAGCAGGUAAAGGAUUAAUGGAUUCGUAUGGAGAUCCUGUCCACCAGUCCCAUGUCACAUCGAGCGACUUCUUCUGUUAUUGCUCCCGUUCGCAUUAUUGGCUUUGGACUUAUUUGUGUAUAUAUAUCUUUUAUAUGAAGUUUAGCUUUGUGGUUUGUUUUAUUUGGUUUGAUGUUGUGGUGUCAAGCCGAGCUGGCUCGUAGUUAGUUGUAUUGUGAUUUUGCGUUCAUUAUUUUGUGACUCCACUGUGUUUUACUACAAUUGUGUGGGUUGUUUACUA